ACCAGGUGGGACCAGGUGGGACCAUGUGUGACCAGUCUCGUAGCCAAAGAAGGAGUCGGAAUGUGCAGGGUCGGCUUCUCAAGGUUUAUUUUCUCUUAUAUACAACAUGCUUUCUCAAGGAGCUGCAGUCUGUCCAGCAGUGUGUGUCUACCUUAAACCAA